rnacentral:rRNA from 1 species
GACGAAUGCUGGCGGCGUGCUUAACACAUGCAAGUCGAACGGAAAGGCACUGCUUUUGUGGGGUGAUCGAGUGGCGAACGGGUGAGUAACACGUGAGUAACCUGACCUUGACUUUGGGAUAACUUCAGGAAACUGGGGCUAAUCCCGGAUAGGAGCUCCCGCUGCAUGGUGGGGGUUGGAAAGUUUCGGCGGUUGGGGAUGGACUCGCGGCUUAUCAGCUUGUUGGUGGGGUAGUGGCUUACCAAGGCUUUGACGGGUAGCCGGCCUGAGAGGGUGACCGGCCACAUUGGGACUGAGAUACGGCCCAGACUCCUACGGGAGGCAGCAGUGGGGAAUAUUGCACAAUGGGCGGAAGCCUGAGGCAGCAACGCCGCGGUCGGGAUGACGGCCUUCGGGUUGUGAACCGCUUUCGCCUGUGACGAAGCGUGAGUGACGGUAAUGGGUAAAGAAGCACCGGCUAACUACGUG